rnacentral:lncRNA from 1 species
GAGGGAUCACCAGCUCAGCUCUUCACACUUUCGAAUCUCUGGAGGGGACAACAGACAUUGCUCAAUCUGCGCUUGAUUCGGCCCAUUUGCUAACCAGCCGAAUGGAUUAAUGUUUUAAUGCAUAAAUCCUUUAGCUAUUGUAUUUUAUCAUUUACAUAAAUACAUCAUAUUUUUCCACAGGUUCCCAUUUCAUGACAAGCCUAGGCUGCAGCAGUGUGUAGCUAAUGUCAGGCGGAUGAUUUGGAAACCAACCCAACACUCUCGUCUCUGUGUACAUCACUUUGAAGAGGACUCUCUUCGAUAUGAUGACAAGGGAAAAGUCUGCCUCACCCCGACUAUUGUGCCCACCGUUUUCCCCUUUCCUGAUCGUCUUCAAAAGCGGUCACAAUGCCCCAGGGAAAGACGAAGGAAUUUGGUAGAUACAGAGUUUGGAAGCAACGCUGCCAUCGCUUCUGAUUCCUUGCCUCUACAAGAGAGCAUCCUGGCUGAUUAUAGUGGAUCUGCAGGCCGCAGACGACACUAGGCGAUAUUCCCACACCUCAGCUGAGCAGAGGAUCCAAUACCGACAAACCAUGCAGCAGAUCCUCAAUGAUUUCUGCUUCAAGUUCCACAACACAAUCAAGGUACAAGGUACACCAUGAUCAAGGUACACCACGAUCAAGGUACACCACAAUUAAGGUAUACCACAAUCAAGACGCAUUCCCUAACCAGAUGGUGAUGGAGAAAGAAGGUGAGGAUAGACUCUAUGACUGACACAUAGAACCGAACCAGGAUUGUCCGUGAGAGGUUGAGUUUCUUCAGCU